UACGACCAGCACACGGCCGCCCUGGCCAUGGAGCCCUUCCACCCCAUGGUGAACCUGGAGUGCUCGCGGGAUUUCCGGCCGUUCCUGUGCGCGCUGUACGCGCCGGUGUGCAUGGAGUACGGGCGGGUGACGCUGCCCUGCCGCCGCCUGUGCCAGCGCGCCCACAGCGAGUGCUCCAAGCUCAUGGAGAUGUUCGGCGUCUCCUGGCCCGAGGAUAUGGAGUGCACCAGGUUCCCGGACUGCGACGAGCCCUACCCUCGCCUGGUUGACCUCAACCUGGCGGGCGAGCCCACGGAGGAGGCGCCGAUGGCCGUGCAGAGGGAUUACGGCUUCUGGUGUCCCCGGGAGCUGAAAAUCGACCCCGAGCUGGGCUACUCCUUCCUCAGGGUGCGGGACUGCUCCCCUCCGUGCCCCAACAUGUACUUCCGCCGCGAGGAGCUCUCCUUCGCCCGCUACUUCAUCGGCGUCAUCUCCAUCGUCUGCCUCUCGGCCACCCUGUUCACCUUCCUCACCUUCCUCAUCGACGUCACGCGCUUCCGCUACCCGGAGCGCCCCAUCAUCUUCUACGCCGUCUGCUACAUGAUGGUGUCCCUCAUCUUCUUCAUCGGCUUCCUGCUGGAGGACCGCGUGGCCUGCAACGCCUCCAGCCCCUCGCAGUACAAGGCCUCCACGGUGACGCAGGGCUCGCACAACAAGGCCUGCACCAUGCUCUUCAUGGUGCUCUACUUCUUCACCAUGGCCGGCAGCGUCUGGUGGGUCAUCCUCACCAUCACCUGGUUCCUGGCCGCCGUGCCCAAGUGGGGCAGCGAGGCCAUCGAGAAGAAGGCGCUGCUGUUCCACGCCAGCGCCUGGGGCAUCCCGGGCACGCUCACCAUCAUCCUGCUGGCCAUGAACAAGAUCGAGGGCGACAACAUCAGCGGCGUGUGCUUCGUGGGGCUCUACGACGUGGACGCGCUGCGCUACUUCGUGCUGGCGCCGCUGUGCCUCUACGUGGUGGUGGGCGUGUCCCUGCUGCUGGCCGGGAUCAUCUCCCUCAACCGCGUGCGCAUCGAGAUCCCGCUGGAGAAGGAGAACCAGGACAAGCUGGUCAAGUUCAUGAUCCGCAUCGGCGUCUUCAGCGUGCUCUACCUCGUGCCCCUGCUGGUGGUCAUCGGCUGCUACUUCUACGAGCAGGCCUACCGGGGCGUGUGGGAGACCACGUGGAUCCAGGAGCGCUGCCGCGAGUACCACAUCCCCUGUCCCUUCCAGGUCACCCAGAUGAGCCGUCCAGACCUGAUUCUGUUCCUCAUGAAGUACCUGAUGGCCUUGGUGGUUGGCAUCCCCUCGGUGUUCUGGGUUGGGAGCAAGAAGACCUGCUUUGAGUGGGCCAGCUUCUUCCACGGGCGCAGGAAAAAGGAGGUCGUCAACGAGAGCCGCCAGGUGCUGCAGGAGCCGGACUUCGCGCAGUCGCUGCUGCGGGACCCCAACACGCCCAUCAUCCGCAAGUCGCGGGGCACCUCCACGCAGGGCACCUCCACGCACGCCUCGUCCACGCAGCUGGCCGUGCUGGACGAGCAGAGGAGCAAGGCGGGCAGCGUGCACAGCAAAGUCAGCAGCUACCACGGCAGCCUGCACCGCUCGCGGGACGGACGGUACACUCCCUGCAGCUACAGGGGCGUGGAGGAGCGGCUCCCUCACGGCAGCAUGUCGCGACUGACCGACCACUCGCGGCACAGCAGCUGCCACCGGCUCAACGAGCAGUCGCGGCACAGCAGCGUCAGGGACCUCAGCAGCAACCCAAUGACACACAUCACGCACGGCACCAGCAUGAACCGCGUCAUCGAGGAGGACGGCACCAGCGCCUGACCUUCCUCAGCGCGGGGACAGCGCUCGGAGUCAUCCUCAGCCUCAGCCUCAGCCUCAGCCGGGCUCGGCCUCUCCGCGCGGGACUUGAACCACUGGGUAUAAAGCUGGUUGUGUGCUCUGAACCUCUCUGGAGGUAAUUAUUUAUUUGAGAACUGUUCCUCGUCGGACACGACUGCUGAAUUUCUGAUUCUCUGUGGAAAACAAUCUCCCCCUUCCUUCUCUCUCCCCCUCUCCGUGUCCCUCCUUCCGUGGGCUCAGCCCCCAGAUCUCGGUGUCGGUGUGGGGUGGUGCUGAGAGUUGUUCUGAUGAGACUUGAGGGAACCUGCGAUGGUUGAAGGAAUCCCUCCCUCCGUGCACCUCCCUGCAGGGGACUCGCCCAGCGCUGCCCGAGGGACAUUCCUGCCAGCUGGUGACCCUGGAAACGCCACCGGCGUGAAAGGAAGCUCCUCCGAGGAUCACCAGCUCUUCCCAGAGCUGCCCAGGCUCGGUUUUCCACAGGGUGGGGGGAAGGGAGAGGCAGGGAAGAGCGAUUUUUUUAUAACUUGUACUGUCCUUGCUUUUUUACAAAAGACUAUUUAAAUUUUCUACUCGUUUACAAUUUCUGUAGGAAGAGAUGGGUUUUAAAAGCAGUUAUCUAGAUAAUAUUCAGCCAUUUAUUUUUUAGAGUCAUGUACAAAAGCUGAGAUUGCCUGUUCCUGAUCUAUUUAAAAAAAAAAGAUUAUCAGAGGAAUGCUGAAUUUGUGCCCCAAGCAGGAAUGUAGAGCCCGUCCCUGCAGCCAGAGCUGAGCCUGUUUACAAACCCCAGCAGCUGAGGCCAGAGGGACCAGGGGAGUUUAUCCAAGUAUUCCCCACCUUCCUUGUGAUGCCAGGGCUGGUUUGGGGAGGAUUCUCUGUGCUGAGCAAGAAUUCAGAGAUGGGUGGGAGAAACUGAGGCAGGAGCUGCCCCCAGAUGGGGACAAGGAGGAUGUGGCAGCUGGAAGCCCAGGGCAGUCCUUGAGGAGGAGACAGGAUCCCCAGUUCAGAUCUGCCUCUGCUGUGGUUGUUUCCAUCCCCUUCUGCGGAUUCAUGGCAGGGAAUUCUCAGUUUGGGCUUUUUUUGUGUGGAAAGGCUCCCUUGGGAUGCACUGGAGGCAGAAGUCAAGGAUGGUGCUGAAGAUCUUGGGGAGCAUCUUCUGUGGAGAUGGAUCCAGCACAGGGAACACUGCUGGCUGCAAACCUACCUCAGUAAUCACUGCUGGGAAACAAAUCCUGAUUUUUGCUUUGUCCUUCCAUGAUUCCCUCCCUGACCUGCUGGAGGCAAUUUGAGAAACCUUUGUGCACCAACCCCGGGGCAGGAGCUGCUCCACAAUUAACUCACUUUAAUUGCAGCUCAUAACCCAAGUGCUGUGGAAUCAAAGGCUCCCAGACUGAUCCCAAAUUGUCUCUCUUGCUUCCAGCGGGUCAGGAGGAGAGGGCAGAUGGAGCCCAGCGUGGAAUAACAACAAAGCUCUUUGUUGUCAGCCCCCGGGGCCCUGGGGCAGAGCAGGCUCUGCUUUGCCUGGUUGCUCAGCAAACAGCCCUGGGGCCAGCCCAGGGACAGUCCCAGCCUAAGGAUGGCCCUGGCCUAAGGACAGCCCCGGCCUAAGGACAGCCCCGGCCUAAGGAUGGCCCCGGCCUAAGGACAGUCCCGGCCUAAGGACAGCCCCGGCCUAAGGACAGCCCUGGCCUAAGGACAGUCCCGGUCUAAGGAUAGUUCUGGCCUAAGGACAGUUCCAGCCUAAGGAUGGCCCUGACCUAAGGACAGCCCUGGCCUAAGGACAGCCCUGGCCUAAGGACGGCCCCGGCCUAAGGACAGCCCUGGCCUAAGGACAGCCCUGGCCUAAGGACAGCCCCGGCCUAAGGACGGCCCUGGCCUAAGGACGGCCCUGGCCUAAGGACAGCCCCGGCCUAAGGACAGCCCCGGCCUAAGGACAGCCCCGGCCUAAGGACAGUCCUGGCCUAAGGAUGGCCCUGGCCUAAGGACAGCCCUGGCCUAAGGACAGUCCUGGCCUAAGGACAGUCCCGGCCUAAGGACAGCCCUGGCCUAAGGACAGCCCCGGCCUAAGGACAGCCCCGGCCUAAGGACAGUCCCGGCCUAAGGACAGCCCCGGCCUAAGGACGGCCCCGGCCUAAGGACAGCCCCGGCCUAAGGACAGUCCUGGCCUAAGGACAGCCCUGGCCUAAGGACAGUCCCAGCCUAAGGACAGUCCCGGCCCAGGGAUAACUGAACAUCCAAAGGUGUGGAAAAAUCCUUGGGAAUGACUUAAAGAGGGGAAGCUGCAGCUCCCUGGAAGCCCCAGGGGUGGAUGGAAACUUUGCUGUUUUCCAAUCCAGCUCCUCCUGACUCACUGCCUCAGAGGGGUGAUCUGGGAGAAAUCUGAAUAAGCUGAGUUUUCCUAAACACUGGAACUGAACUAAAUAAGCUCAAGGGUUUACGUUGAUCCUCUUGGCUCAACUUGCAGUAUUUUUUUUUUUAAUAAAUUAUAGCAAUGCUUUGACUUGUUCAGAGACAGGGAGGGGAACACUGUUGGAGCUUGGAGAAGGAUCCUGCUGGAGAUGUUGUUAAUGUGUGAGGCUCAAUCCCAGUCCUGCUUCCAGAUGGGAACAUCUGAGUGAUUCCUGGCUGAUCCCAAAGGGACAGGCUCCUGUCACCCCAGAGAGGGGAUUAAACUCAAACUGGGGCUCUGGCUGGGAUUUCUGCCUCCCUGCCCCCUCCCUUCUACCUUCAACACCUGAGCCAGCAGUUUGUGCUCUCCUGGCAGAGCAUUCCUCCCGGGAAGAGAGGAAUUCCUCCUCACCCAUGGCACAACGUCCCAGCUCUGGAACUGGGAAUGGAAUUGGGAAUUCCUCCUCACCCAUGGAACAGUGCCCCAGCUCUGCUGCAAUGGAACUGGGAAUUCCUCCUCACCCAUGGAACAGUGCCCCAGCUCUGCUGCAAUGGAACUGGGAAUUCCUCCUCACCCAUGGAACAACAUCCCAGCUCUGCUGCAAUGGAACUGGGAAUUCCUCCUCACCCAUGGAACAAUGCUCCAGCUCUGCUGCAAUGGAACUGGGAAUUCCUCCUUGACCAUGGAACAACGUCCCAGCUCUGCUGCAAUGGAACUGGGAAUUCCUCCUCACCCAUGGAACAGUGCCCCAGCUCUGCUGCAAUGGAACUGGGAAUUCCUCCUCACCCAUGGAACAGUGCCCCAGCUCUGCUGCAAUGGAACUGGGAAUUCCUCCCUCACCCAUGGAACAAUGCCCCAGCUCUGCUGCAAUGGAACUGGGAAUUCCUCCUUGACCAUGGAACAGUGUCCCAGCUCUGCUGCAAUGGAACUGGGAAUUCCUCCUUGACCAUGGAACAGUGCCCCAGCUCUGCUGCAAUGGAACUGGGAAUUCCUCCUCACCCAUGGAACAAUGUCCCAGCUCUGCUGCAAUGGAACUGGGAAUUCCUCCUCACCCAUGGAACAAUGUCCCAGCUCUGCUGCAGUUCCCCAGCUGGGGCUCACGGGGCUGCAGCUCCCAAAUCAUCGUGUGCAGGGGCUCUGAAAUUCAUCCCAGUUUGAAUGUGGCCCCAGCAGCAUCUCAGGCAGGGGCACCAAGAGUCCAGGAGUGUUUUUGGGGUGUUUUCCUGCCUGGUGGGAGCUCCAGCCCGGGUUCCUGGUGUGUGGGAUUGGUGCCAAGCUUUAAAUUCCCCCCGAGCUGGAAGCCCUGGCCAGGAGGGCGUUCCUGGAAUGCCCGAGGUGCUCUGGGCUCCCUGUGUGUCCCUGCAGCUGAACAGCUCCUCGUGGGGCCCCUGCAGCCCCCAGGAGCUGGAUCCCCUCUCCGGGAGCAGGCAGGGAGCUGGGCAGUGCCCGGCUUCCCCAGCUCACCCCAAACUCCAUCCCUGUCCCUCCGGUGCACACGAUGGCUGCAACCCCAAAUCUCUGCUCUGUGGAAUUGCUCUGUCAAAGCUUCCUGUAAAUGCACAGCUCCUCAUUCCCAGUGUCCCAGGGAUCUCCUGCUUUACCAACCCCACUGCACUGACAGCAGAUCCCCCUGAGACUGUGGUGUUCCCUCUUUAUUAACCCCUUCAGCUCCUGUGAAAUAUCCCAGAUCUGAGCUGCGGUCCCCUUGCAUGGAAGAGGCUGCUGCUCUUUUUUACAGCAUAAACAACCCAGCAGCAGCAGCAGCAGCAGCAAACAGCCCCGUUUGGGUGUCUGUGUGUUUGUGUUCUCCUUUUCUCCCAGCUCAGACCCAGAUUUGGUGCUGGCAGCUUUAAACUCUGGGAGGGCCUGGGGAGCACAGGGUGGCACUGGGAGCUGAAAUGCAGCUGAAAUCCAGUCAUGGCCAAAUCCAGCACUGCUCCCGAGGGGUUCCAGCAAGGAGGGAAGGGAAAACCCCUCAGGAAGGGCACAAGGAUGAGAGCCAGGUCCACCCAGAGCAGUGCCCACAAGGAGAGAAGGGAAAAUCCCUCAGGAAGGGCCAGGCCAGCCCAGAGCAAUGACCACAAGGAAAGAAGGGAAAAUCCCUCAGGAAGGGCCCAAGGAUGAGAGAGCCAGGCCAGCCCAGAGCAGCGCCCACAAGGAGAGGAAACCCCUCAGGAAGAGCCAGGCCAGCCCAGAGCAGCGCCCACAAGGAAGGAAGGAAAGGGAAAAUCCCUCAGAAGGAGCCAGGCCAGCCCAGAGCAAUGACCACAAGGAAAGAAAGGAAAGUCCUUCAGGAAGGGCCCAAGGACAGGAGCCAGGCCAGCCCAGAGCAGUGCCCACAAGGAGAGGAAACCCCUCAGGAGGAAUCAGGCCAGGCUAGAGCAGCACCCACAAGGAAGGAAGGAAAGAGAAAAUCCCUCAGGAGGAGCCAGGCCAGCCUAGAGCAGUGCCCACAAGGAGGGAAAAUCCCUCAGGAGGAGCCAGGCCACCCUAGAGCGGUGCCCACAAGGAUGGAAGGAAAGGGAAAAUCCCUCAGGAAGAGCCAGGCCACCCUAGAGCAGUGCCCACAAGGAUGGAAGGAAAGGGAAAAUCCCUCAGGAAGAGCCAGGCCAGCCCAGAGCAGUGCCCACAAGGAUGGAAGGAAAGGGAAAAUCCCUCAGGAAGAGCCAGGCCACCCUAGAGCAGCGCCCACAAGGAUGGAAGGAAAGGGAAAAUCCCUCAGGAAGAGCCAGGCCAGCCCAGAGCAGGGCCCACAAGGAUGGAAGGAACGGGAAAACCCCUCAGGAAGGGCCAGGCCAGCCCAGAGCAGUGCCCACAAGGAAGGAAGGAAAGAGAAAAUCCCUCAGGAGGAGCCAGGCCAGCCUAGAGCAGUGCCCACAAGGAUGGAAGGAACGGGAAAAUCCCUCAGGAGGAGCCAGGCCAGCCCGGAGCAGGGCCCACCCUCCAGGGCAGCCGAUUCCCCAGCCCAGCUCCGGGGCACUGAGGAUCCCGGAGAGCCGCAGGGAGCUCCCUCCGUGUGCUGACAGCAGGGCACAGGGGACAUCCCCAGGGCCUCCUGGAGCAGCAGAAUGUCCAGAUGAAUGUGAAGCUUUACCCCCAUCCCCUCGUGCUUCUUCCCUAACGGGAUCAGGAUUGAUUUCCCCCCAGGCGCGGCGUUUUCCCGGAUUCCGCUGAACUCGGUGCAUGAACCGCCUGUGGCAGCCCCUCCCUCGGCCCUGCCGUGUCGGGUGCCCGUGCUGUGACAGCGCCCAGCUCCCCGGGAGAGGGCACGGAGCUCCCAGGAGAUUUUUACGUCUUGGAAUGUGUGGGGCAGUCCCCGCCCGUGGCUGACCCCACUUGCACUCGGCUCUUGGUAGACUUGUUUACAGUAGUCCAGUGUCGGUUUUGUAACGUUUAAUUUUUAGCACUUUAACUGUGAGUGUACAAAUUGGUUCCCUUGUAGUUGGUGUACAUUUUCAUUUUAGACCUUUGGAAGUUUUUAAUAAAACGAUGGAAAAAACUC